GAGACCCCGCAGACUGCUCUCACAGGCCGUAGAGAGACGUGCUCAGCAGACCUACCUACCAUGUGGCUACUGGACCAUUAAACCCAUAAUAACCACAGUGGACGGAGAGUUUACCGACAGAUAGUGGACGCUCUGAGGCCUGCGGAAGGACCAGGAGACGUUGCUGGGGCUGUUUGGGAGUUCUGAAGAUCCCGGUUUCAGACGUCAUCACGUCAUGACGUCAUCACGUCAGGUUGUUGACGCCAGAUGCUUGUUUCAGCCAUCAUCACGCCAUGACGUCAUCACGUCGGGUUGUUGACGCCAGAUGCUCGUUUCAGCCAUCAUCACGCCAUGACGUCAUCACGUCGGGUUGUUGACGCCAGAUGCUUGUUUCAGCCAUCAUCACGCCAUGACGUCAUCACGUCGGGUUGUUGACGCCAGAUGCUUGUUUCAGCCAUCAUCACGCCAUGGCGUCAUCACGUCGGGUUGUUGACGCCAGAUGCUUGUUUCAGCCAUCAUCACGCCAUGACGUCAUCACGUCGGGUUGUUGACGCCAGAUGCUCGUUUCAGCCAUCAUCACGCCAUGGCGUCAUCACGUCGGGUUGUUGACGCCAGAUGCUUGUUUCAGCCAUCAUCACGCCAUGGCGUCAUCACGUCGGGUUGUUGACGCCAGAUGCUUGUUUCAGCCAUCAUCACGCCAUGACGUCAUCACGUCGGGUUGUUGACGCCAGAUGCUUGUUUCAGCCAUCAUCACGCCAUGACGUCAUCACGUCGGGUUGUUGACGCCAGAUGCUUGUUUCAGCCAUCAUCACGCCAUGACGUCAUCACGUCGGGUUGUUGACGCCAGAUGCUCGUUUCAGCCAUCAUCACGCCAUGACGUCAUCACGUCGGGUUGUUGACGCCAGAUGCUCGUUUCAGCCAUCAUCACGCCAUGACGUCAUCACGUCGGGUUGUUGACGCCAGAUGCUCGUUUCAGCCAUCAUCACGCCAUGACGUCAUCACGUCGGGUUGUUGACGUCAGAUGCUCGUUUCCCUCAUCGUCCCCUCAUCGUUUCAUCACCCUGCUCGUCCAACUGACUGCUCAAGGAAGUCGUGGCUGAAAUACAUUUUGCUGGUGCCCCCUUCCACAUCAGUACAUCGCUUUGGUUCCGUGUGGUAAUUCCUGUCUGUUUCUCUAAGCUGGGAGCACGCCGACCGUCAUCUACUGUUGCCAAUACUAUCCCAAAAAAGGCUACAUAAGAAUACUGCUACCAGCUUGGAGGGCCCGAGGGUCCCCUGGGUCCUUCUCCUCCAUUCUGUCCAGGCAUACCGGACUCUCCAGGGGGGCCAGGUCUUCCAGAACCGCCGUCCUUACCAGAAGGGCCUGGAGGUCCUGGACGGCCCGCUGUACUCUUCACAUGGGCUGGCUGGAUCUGAGCCAUGAGGAUGAGGAGGUUCAACAUGGACUCCAGGAUACCCUGCAACUUCUACAGGUGCACAAUCGAAAGUAUCCUGACUGGCUGCAUCACCGCCUGGUCUGGCAGCUGCAUGUUCUUUAUGUUUAUACUCCUCAUGCAUAAACAUUUACUGCAUUCCUGUUUACAUUCAGCUUAUUAAUUUGCAAUUACUGUCUACCACAAAUGUAUAGUAUAUUACUUUAUUUCAUAUUUAUUUGUUAUAUUUUAUCCCUAUAUUCUAACUUGCACAAUUGUAUGUCUUAGUUCUAUGAUUUUCUUUUAUACAUACUUAAUUGUUUCAUUGUUGAAGGGAGCUUGAGACUAAAGAAUUUAAUUGAUAACGACUGCUUCUGUCAUUUUUAUGCAUUUGAUAAUAAAUAAAACUUGAAACUUCAAAAUAACUGAAUAUUUUUU